rnacentral:rRNA from 1 species
GACGAACGCUGGCGGCGUGCUUAACACAUGCAAGUCGAACGGAAAGGCCCUGCUUGCGGGGUGCUCGCGUGGCGAACGGGUGAGUAACACGUGGGUGUUCUGCGCUGCACUUCGGGAUAUGCCUGGAAAACUGGGUCUAAUACCGGAUAGGAGCCAUCUUGAGGGUGAGGGUUGGAAAGUUUUUUCGGUUUGGGAUGAGACUACGGCCUAUCAGGUUGUUGGUGGGGUAAUGGCCUACCCAGGCGGCGACGGGGAGCCGGCCGGGGAGGGUGGACGGGCACAAUGGGGCUGGGAUACGGGCCAGACCCCCACGGGGGGGAGGAGGGGGGGAGUUUGGACAAAGGGGGGGAGCCCGAAGGAGGGACGCCGGGGGGGGGAAGACGGGCUUUGGGUUGGAAAAGCGCUUCGGUAGGGGAGGAGGCUUGUGUGACGGUACCGAGAUAAGAAGCACCGGCUAACUACGUG